rnacentral:rRNA from 1 species
CCUACGGGUGGCAGCAGUGGGGAAUAUUGCGCAAUGGGCGAAAGCCUGACGCAGCGACGCCGCGUGAGGGAUGAAGGUCUUCGGAUCGUAAACCUCUGUCAGCAGGGAAGAACGGUCACUGUGCUAAUCAGCAGUGAAUUGACGGUACCUGCAAAGGAAGCACCGGCUAACUCCGUGCCAGCAGCCGCGGUAAUACGGAGGGUGCGAGCGUUAAUCGGAAUUACUGGGCGUAAAGCGCUCCUAGGCGGUAUGUCAAGUCAAGGGUGAAAGCCCCGCGCUCAACGUGGGAACUGCCUUUGAAACGGGCAAACUGGAGUGUGUGAGAGGAUAGUGGAAUUCCAGGGGUAGGAGUGAAAUCCGUAGAUAUCUGGAGGAACAUCAGUGGCGAAGGCGACUAUCUGGCACAUAACUGACGCUGAGGAGCGAAAGCGUGGGUAGCAAACAGGAUUAGAUACCCCAGUAGUG